CGUAUAGGGGUGCUUUGCGGCUGAGAUGGGAUGUUCCCGAACCCUUGACCUGAUCCGGGUAAUGCCGGCGUAGGGAAUACAAGU
rnacentral:ncRNA from 1 species